UUGAACGCUGGCGGCAUGCCUAACACAUGCAAGUCGAACGGUAACGCGGGGGCAACCCUGGCGACGAGUGGCGGACGGGUGAGUAAUACGUAGGAAUCUACCCUGUAGUGGGGGAUAACCCGGCGAAAGCCGGGCUAAUACCGCAUACGCUCUACGGAGGAAAGCGGGGGAUCGCAAGACCUCGCGCUAAAGGAUGAGCCUACGUCGGAUUAGCUAGUUGGUAGGGUAACGGCCUACCAAGGCAACGAUCCGUAGCUGGUCUGAGAGGACGAUCAGCCACACUGGGACUGAGACACGGCCCAGACUCCUACGGGAGGCAGCAGUGGGGAAUAUUGGACAAUGGGGGCAACCCUGAUCCAGCAAUGCCGCGUGGAUGAUGAAGUAUUUCGGUACGUAAAAUCCUUUCGACGGGGACGAAACCGCAAGGUUGACGGUACCCGUAGAAGAAGCCCCGGCUAACUCCGUGCCAGCAGCCGCGGUAAUACGGGGGGGCAAGCGUUGUUCGGAAUUACUGGGCGUAAAGGGUGCGUAGGCGGCUUUCUAAGUUGGAUGUGAAAACUCUGGGCUCAACCCAGAGACUGCAUCCAAAACUGGAGAGCUUGGGUUCUGGAGGGGAAAGCGGAAUUCCUGGUGUAGCGGUGAAAUGCGUAGAUAUCAGGAGGAACACCGGUGGCGAAGGCGGCCUUCUGGACAGAUACCGACGCUGAGGCACGAAAGCUAGGGGAGCAAACA
rnacentral:rRNA from 1 species